rnacentral:rRNA from 1 species
AGCAGCCGCCGCGGGAAUACCGAGGGUGCGAGCGUUAAUCGGAUUUACUGGGCGUAAAGCGUGCGUAGGCGGCUUCUUAAGUCGGAUGUGAAAUCCCUGAGCUUAACUUAGGAAUUGCAUUCGAUACUGGGAAGCUAGAGUAUGGGAGAGGAUGGUAGAAUUCCAGGUGUAGCGGUGAAAUGCGUAGAGAUCUGGAGGAAUACCGAUGGCGAAGGCAGCCAUCUGGCCUAAUACUGACGCUGAGGUACGAAAGCAUGGGGAGCAAACAGGAUUAGAUACCCCAGUAGUCCCUGUCUCUUAUAA